GUGUAUCUAUAAAUAUAACCACAACAUAAGAAUUGAAUAUAUUUUCAUCCACAUAAAUCAUUUUAUUUUAUCACAAUAAAAAUCAAGAUGAUGAGAUCCAACAUCGUAACAUUUCUUUUCUCUUUGAUGAUCAAAAGAGAAUCAAAAAUUUGAAUUGUAUAAUGUAUCUUAUUUUCUUUGUUAUUAGCUUUAAUAGUUUCAAUAUUUUAUUUAUCCAUGUGUAUUUCUCAAUCGAUUUCUUCAGAUAAUUUCAUAGCGGGAAAUCCUGAAUUUUGCGGCAUCUUAGGCGCCACUAGUUGUUGUUCAAACCAUAACAUCGGUCAUUGUACUAGUUGUUACGUGCUGCUCCGACGGUACACGCACGCACAGAAUUCUCCCAGAGGGAGCCGGAGGUUGGGGAAGAAAUCUCCCGAAGGAGCCGGAGAAUUUGGAGGGAUCGGAAGUUGGUUACAAUCUUUUUGGUGAUCCUCAACGAUGGAUCCCAUGGUUUUAUUUAAAGUAUUGUUCCACCAAUGUCAGAAUGACACUUGGCGUUGUACACGACUAACUAAUUACUUUUAAUUACUUAAUUGAAUUAUCAAUAAUAAACGUAAUCACUUUUCAUCUUCCUCCGUCGAACCCGGCUGGAUCGUGGCAGCUCCCUCUGUUCACUCCCCUGUUUCUCCAGACUCAGAUCAUCUUGCAGUCGCUCAGUGAUUGUAUCGAGAUCGAGCUGGACUGUUACAUCCCUUCCUCCUUCCACUGGAAUCUUGUCCUCAAGAUUUUCCUUCAUCAAUCUUUCGAUUGUAGCCAAAUCUUCCCACGAACGUUCAUUGGUUGGCAGACCAACCCACUCCACUAGGACUUGCUUUGUCGUCCUUCCCCUCUGCCUAAUUUGUCAAUAUGCUAUUACCUUUGAUGGACAUAUAAUGGGGUGACCUUCAAUUGCUAGAGGUGGUAAUGGACUGGUCGUCUGUUCAGGAUUGCUUCCCCGGAAUGGCUUCAAGAGUGCGAUAUAGAAGACUGGAAAAAUUUCACUUCCUGCGGUCAGUUUAAGUCGAUACGCUACCGGACUUAUCUUCUGUUCAAUCAUGAAUGGACCAAAAUAGCGCUUUGCGAGUUUUAUGCAUGAACGAUGAUUGACUGAAUUCUGACGGUAUGGUUGUAACCGCAACUAAACCCAAUUCCCCACUUCGAAUUCGUAGGCCCGUCGUUUGAGAUCUGCAUACUUCUUCAUUCGUUCCUGUGCCGAUUGUAAAUUAUUCUUAAGCUCGCGGAGGAGCUGAUCUCUCUGCCUCAGUAAGGUGUCGACCGCUUCAACGUUUGAGUCUCCGACUCUGUAAUCAAUAAUUUCAGGUGGAGUUCUUCCAUAAACUGCUUGGAACGGAGACAUUCCCAAGCUAUGAUGGUGCGAGGUGUUAUACCAGAGCUCCGCCCAAGGCAGCAGCUCCACCCACUCCCUGGGGUUGUUCUGAAUGGUUGCGCGGAGAUACUGUUCGAUCGUCUUGUUCAUGAUCUCCGUCUGGCCGUCCGAUUCCGGGUGGUAGGCGGUAGACAUCUUCAGCGUCGUUCCGCUUUUUGAGAAGAUUUCUUUCCAGAACUUGCUCAAAAAUAUCUUGUCGCGAUCGGAAACGAUUGUCUUAGGUAUGCCAUGGAGUCGGACUACCUGUUUGAUGAAAUACUCGGCGACCAAUGUGGCUGAAUAACUGGCCGGAAGACUCCCUAAGUGGCAGUAUUUUGUGAGUCGAUCGACUACCACUAUAAUUACUGCCUGCCCUUUUACUGGUGGUAACCCUGUUAUAAAGUCCAUACUCACAUCCUCCCACACCGCUACCGGAAUCGGUAGUGGUUGUAAAAGACCCAUCGGUUUCAGCGCCGACGACUUCACUUGCUGGCAUACCACGCAGCUCGCCACAAAAUCGCGAAUGAAUGCAUUCAUUCCCUUCCAGUAAAAACUCUGUCGCACCCGCUUGAGCGUUCUAAGGUAGCCUGAGUGCCCUCCGACACGCGAGCUAUGCAGUUCGUCCAGCACCUUGGCCCGUAGCGGGGAGUUGGGUCCUAAGCAAAAUAAAUUUCUGAAAUACAGUAUUCCCUUCCGCUCUGAGAAAUUGGAAUCCAUCUCCUCGCCCUUCAAUUUUGUUUUUAUCUCACCAAUCCAACUAUCAGUUUCAUUCUCCCCUCUGAUAAGCUCUUCCCAGUUCGAAAUUCCCUCACUGGUUAGCUUUCUUAAUUCAGCCCCUUCCUCGUCCAAUUCGAUUAGUGGCAAUCGAGAUAGUGCAUCCGCAGCCGCAUUAUCUUUCCCCUUCCGGUAGACAAUGUUGAAAGAGAAUCCCAACAAGCGAGUCAAGAAGUACUGCUGUUCGGGUGACUGGAUGCUUUGGCCGAGAAGAUUCUUCAAACUGGAAUGAUCCGUUCUUAUCGUAAAUUCGCUGCCAAGGAGGUAAUGCCUCCAUUUGUGAACGGCUUCCGUCAACGCCCACAAUUCCUUGGAAUACGUUGAUGCCUGUUGACGUAGCUUAGACAGCUUCCGGCUGAAAUAAGCGAGUGGGUGUUCCUUCUGAAGUAACACCGCUCCAAUUCCAACAUCACACGCAUCCGUCUCUACGACGAACGAUAGAUUGAAAUCUGGGAAUACCAGUACCGGCGCUGUUGUCAAUAUCAAUUUCAAUUUUUCAAAUGCUUCUGUGGCCGCCGGUGUCCAAUUGAACCCAUCCUUCCGCAAUACAUCGGUGAGUGGCGAAGCAAUUUGGGCGUACUGGGCCACGAACUUCCGAUAGUACCCUGUGAGCCCUAGGAACGCUCGUGUCUGUUUCACAGUUGUUGGUCUCGGCCAACCCACUACCGCCUCUAUUUUAUCAGGGUCUGGCCUAAUCCCCUGAGGUGAGAUAAUAUGUCCCAGGUACGUGAGCUCUUCCAAUCCAAAUGAACACUUCGUCUCCCGCACAUAAAAACAAUGCUGCCUUAGUAGUUCAAAUACCGUUGCAAGGUGUUUGGCAUGAAUCUCCCGAGAUCCACUGUAGAUUAGAAUGUCGUCGAAGAAGACGAUCACGAACUUCCGGAGGAAUGGUUGAAGCAGCUGAUUCAUUGUCGCUUGGAACGUGGCUGGGGCGUUGGAAAGCCCAAAUGGCAUGACAGUGAAUUCAUAGUGCCCCUGAUGCGUGCGGAACGCGGUCUUCUCCACAUCCUCACCGGCGAUGCGUAUUUGAUGGUAACCGGCGCGAAGGUCUAAUUUUGAAAAAAUAACGGACCCAUGNN
rnacentral:lncRNA from 1 species